CAUGCCGGAUAAGGGGGUACCGGCCCUGUGUUUUGUUUGUCGUCUGGUCCACUGCUUUCUUUUGUACAUGAAGAGAAGUAUUCCAGCUGUCCUUAUACCAGCUUGCACCAUACUCUCCAGUUAGGCGGAGGGAGAAAAAAUCCCAUGAAGGUUUUAUGUUAUGCUUCAGAAGAAACUUCCCCCAGAAGCUCAAACUGAAACAGACCUUAUGGAAAAGGAGCUUUGAGUAAAAAGUCUAUUCCCAUGGAAAGUAUUGGUGUUCCAGCCUUUUCACCCAGAAGAUCAAAAUACCUAAGACCUGGUUUACUGCAACAUCCAGAACCAGAAUUUCAGUUAUCCAGAAGAAGGAUGUUGACUUUGGAGACAUGAUGUAUUUGUCACAAGGAAUGGCCAGGUUAACCACCUCUGAGAUGGGAAACUCCAGCUCUUUC